GACGAACGCUGGCGGCGUGCCUAAUACAUGCAAGUAGAACGCUGAAGAGAGGAGCUUGCUCUUCUUGGAUGAGUUGCGAACGGGUGAGAAACGCGUAGGUAACCUGCCUGGUAGCGGGGGAUAACUAUUGGAAACGAUAGCUAAUACCGCAUAAAAUGGAUUAUCGCAUGAUAAUCCAUUGAAAGGUGCAAAUGCAUCACUACCAGAUGGACCUGCGUUGUAUUAGCUAGUUGGUGGGGUAACGGCUCACCAAGGCGACGAUACAUAGCCGACCUGAGAGGGUGAUCGGCCACACUGGGACUGAGACACGGCCCAGACUCCUACGGGAGGCAGCAGUAGGGAAUCUUCGGCAAUGGACGGAAGUCUGACCGAGCAACGCCGCGUGAGUGAAGAAGGUUUUCGGAUCGUAAAGCUCUGUUGUAAGAGAAGAACGAGUGUGAGAGUGGAAAGUUCACACUGUGACGGUAUCUUACCAGAAAGGGACGGCUAACUACGUG
rnacentral:rRNA from 1 species